rnacentral:rRNA from 1 species
GAUGAACGCUGGCGGCGUGCCUAAUACAUGCAAGUCGAGCGAACAGACGAGGAGCUUGCUCCUCUGACGUUAGCGGCGGACGGGUGAGUAACACGUGGAUAACCUACCUAUAAGACUGGGAUAACUUCGGGAAACCGGAGCUAAUACCGGAUAAUAUAUUGAACCGCAUGGUUCAAUAGUGAAAGACGGUUUUGCUGUCACUUAUAGAUGGAUCCGCGCCGCAUUAGCUAGUUGGUAAGGUAACGGCUUACCAAGGCAACGAUGCGUAGCCGACCUGAGAGGGUGAUCGGCCACACUGGACCUGAGACACGGUCCAGACUCCUACGGGAGGCAGCAGUAGGGAAUCUUCGGCAAGGGGCGAAAGCCUGCCGGAGCAACGCCGCGUGAGUGAUGAAGGUCUUCGGAUCGUAAAACUCUGUUAUUAGGGAAGAACAAAUGUGUAAGUAACUAUGCACGUCUUGACGGUACCUAAUCAGAAAGCCACGGCUAACUACGU